rnacentral:rRNA from 1 species
AGCCCCGUACACAAAAAUGCACAUGCUGUGAGCUCGAUGAGUAGGGCGGGACACGUGGUAUCCUGUCUGAAUAUGGGGGGACCAUCCUCCAAGGCUAAAUACUCCUGACUGACCGAUAGUGAACCAGUACCGUGAGGGAAAGGCGAAAAGAACCCCGGCGAGGGGAGUGAAAAAGAACCUGAAACCGUGUACGUACAAGCAGUGGGAGCACAGAGCAAUCUGUGUGACUGCGUACCUUUUGUAUAAUGGGUCAGCGACUUAUAUUCUGUAGCAAGGUUAACCGAAUAGGGGAGCCGAAGGGAAACCGAGUCUUAACUGGGCGUUAAGUUGCAGGGUAUAGACCCGAAACCCGGUGAUCUAGCCAUGGGCAGGUUGAAGGUUGGGUAACACUAACUGGAGGACCGAACCGACUAAUGUUGAAAAAUUAGCGGAUGACUUGUGGCUGGGGGUGAAAGGCCAAUCAAACCGGGAGAUAGCUGGUUCUCCCCGAAAGCUAUUUAGGUAGCGCCUCGUGAAUUCAUCUCCGGGGGUAGAGCACUGUUUCGGCAAGGGGGUCAUCCCGACUUACCAACCCGAUGCAAACUGCGAAUACCGGAGAAUGUUAUCACGGGAGACACACGGCGGGUGCUAACGUCCGUCGUGAAGAGGGAAACAACCCAGACCGCCAGCUAAGGUCCCAAAGUCAUGGUUAAGUGGGAAACGAUGUGGGAAGGCCCAGACAGCCAGGAUGUUGGCUUAGAAGCAGCCAUCAUUUAAAGAAAGCGUAAUAGCUCACUGGUCGAGUCGGCCUGCGCGGAAGAUGUAACGGGGCUAAACCAUGCAC